UCACAUAGUUACAGUCUUGGUGUUCAUUUAACCAUGGACAGGAGGAAAGACGAGUGUUAUCUUACCCAGUAAGCAGAAUGAGGCAAGGAUGAAGUAGUACAUCAUUUUGACCUUUGAAUGCACAGGGAGGAGCCUGCAGAUGAAACACAACAUGGCACACUGAUCAAUACUGCCUCGUGGCAUUUAAAGACCCAUUGAGAACACUUUACAGACUGCUGGGAGAGAAGUUUAGUCAAUUUGAUUUGACUGGGUCGCAUUGGGUCCGACUUGGAUGAAAGGUAGAAACAGGUCGCCAGUCCAUCCGAGGGCACAUACACAUACAUACAUACACAUUCAAAC